GCCAAAUAGAUAAUUACUUCUAUUAGUUGC
rnacentral:piRNA from 1 species